UAAAGGGCAGUACAUUCACAAGAUGGGGACGGAGUUCAUGUGAUGGUACAAAGUCGUCAUUGGUUUAUACAGGAUUUAUGGCUGGCCCUACUAGUGCCGCAAGAGGAAGUGGGUCUAAUUAUCUAUGUUUGUCCAGUAAUCCUCAAACGAAAUCUUUCCCUGCAGACUGGAAUCAACGUCCUGGACAUCUUUAUGGAAUUGGUUGGGAAUUAACAGAGUAGUAACAUCCAGUGUUUUUAAUAACUAGGUGUGUCACAAUUCCUAUAUGUUAAAACAAUCUGAAUUGUAACUUCCUUGCUAAUGGAUUAGUAUUGAUUGAUUGGCUGCAUUACGGAGGUACGAUAAUUUGUCCAAAAGCAAUUCAAAAGAAAAUUUUAAACAACGAUCUGAUUUAUGCUGAAAAUAAAAAACGAAAAAUAACGAAGCGGACUGCAACCAACAACAUAAUUAGAUGAGGUUUAACAUCUGUGUAAGCGCUCAACCCUUCCCUUACCUAGACCCUGUUUUCCCAGACAAAACUUUCCGUCAAUUCACAUUCUUUGGAUUUAGUGUAAAUACUCUUUAAAAUGUCUGAGAAAUACUUGGCCUUGUGCAAAGCCAAGCUAUACAUUUCAUACAACACAUGUUUUACCCGGGGAUCGUCAUAUGAUAUGGAAGUAUUGUUUUUCCUGAUGACAAUUUGUAUAUAUCUAUAUGUAUAUUUUGGUUUCGUUGUAUUGAUGGGUUGCCGUCUCAUUGAUGUAUAUACCUCACAAAUUUUUUUUGUAUUAAAUUAAUCAAAUAUUAGAACUUUUGUUCACGUUUCAGAUGCAUGAAAUUUAUAAAGUGUUGUUUUCCUUUAUUCAGGUAUUGACAGAAGCAGAAGCUCAAACCACGUGGAUGACAAAGAUGUCCCAUGUGCUGUGUGUCUGACAAAAGGUAAAACAGCAUUGAUGAUUCCUGGUAGAACGUCCUGCUAUGCAGGUUGGACCCAUGAAUACACAGGGUUUCUCGCAACUGUGAGAACCCAAAAUGGCUUUGCAUCAACAGAAUAUGUCUGCGCAGAUGCCGAUCCGGAAUUUUACGGAUCAACAAACUAUAAUCAGGGCAUCAUCAGUUUUGUAGAAGUAAAAUGUGGAAGCAUUCCGUGUUCUAAGUAUGGAAACAGAACCAAACUGAGCUGUGUUGUGUGCAGUAAAUAGUAAUGUAAUUGUAUGGACAAUGUUAAUGUUUUUUUUUUAAUGUUUCCUCUAGUAUUUGCUUAUCAGUAUAUUUGCUUCUAAAUAUGAAAAAAACUGUCUGUUAUGUAAUGAAAUAAAUAAUUAUCUAGUUGAA